rnacentral:rRNA from 1 species
AGUGAACGCUGGCGGUAGGCCUAACACACGCAAGUCGAACGGCAGCACAGUAAGAGCUUGCUCUUACGGGUGGCGAGUGGCGGACGGGUGAGGAAUACAUCGGAAUCUACUUUUUCGUGGGGGAUAACGUAGGGAAACUUACGCUAAUACCGCAUACGACCUACGGGUGAAAGCAGGGGAUCUUCGGACCUUGCGCGAUUGAAUGAGCCGAUGUCGGAUUAGCUAGUUGGCGGGGUAAAGGCCCACCAAGGCGACGAUCCGUAGCUGGUCUGAGAGGAUGAUCAGCCACACUGGAACUGAGACACGGUCCAGACUCCUACGGGAGGCAGCAGUGGGGAAUAUUGGACAAUGGGCGCAAGCCUGAUCCAGCCAUACCGCGUGGGUGAAGAAGGCCUUCGGGUUGUAAAGCCCUUUUGUUGGGAAAGAAAAGCAGCAGGUUAAUACCCCGCUGUUCUGACGGUACCCAAAGAAUAAGCACCGGCCAACUUCGUG